UACGGGGGGAGCAAGCGUUGUUCGGAUUUACUGGGCGUAAAGGGCGCGUAGGCGGCGUGACAAGUCACUUGUGAAAUCUCCGGGCUUAACCCGGAAAGGUCAGCCGAUACUGCGGGGCUAGAGUGCAGAAGGGGCAACUGGGAAUUCUCGGUGUAGCGGUGAAAUGCGUAGGAUAUCGAGAGGAACACCUGCGGCGAAGGCGGGUUGCUGGGCUGACACGUGACGCUGAUGCGCGAAAGCUAGGGGAGCGAACGGGG
rnacentral:rRNA from 1 species